rnacentral:rRNA from 1 species
GGACCCUCCCGAGGGCACGCCUGCCUCAUGGGCGUUAGAAGCCCAUCCACGCUCGGUUGCCUCAUGGCAAAGAUGCGGACAUUGGCCCUCCGAACCGCGAGGUGCGGUGGGCCUAAGUGUGCGGCCGUCGUAUGUGGCCGGGAGCGGCGAGUGUUGGGCUACUGCG